AUUUAAAUAGUUUAUAUAAAAUAUUGAUUUGUGGGAUCAAAGAAGUUUUUUAACUUUAAAUU
rnacentral:tRNA from 1 species